CGGCCCUUCUUCAGGUAGACUUGAUCAUUUCAAACAAGCUGCCUGAUGAAGAGCUGUAC
rnacentral:pre_miRNA from 1 species